rnacentral:misc_RNA from 1 species
ACAAACUUGGUCAUUUAGAGGAAGUAAAAGUCGUAACAAGGUAACCGUAGGUGAACCUGCGGUUGGAUCAUUAACAAUGUUCUUAACAAGUUUGAUCUGGAAAUGCUUUAACAGGCUUUUCCAGGUUUUUACUUGCACCAUUUGUGAACCUGUAAUUGUUCUUUGGCGGUUAUAUUCUGGCGAAACUGUUGUAAGCCGUUGGAAUUUGUAAGGAUCUUAUGUUUUCGGACUGGGAUCUUUGCAGGGCCGUCAAAAGGGAGGUUUUUCUUAAUUGAAGGCCUUCCGACCAAUGAAACCAAAUGUUUUGUUUUUUAUUGUCUUUUAGAUCCUUUAUGAGGACGUUAAUUAAUUGAAAUACAACUUUUAACAACGGAUCUCUUGGCUCUUGCAUCGAUGAAGAACGCAGC